rnacentral:rRNA from 1 species
CCGGCUCAGUAACACGUGGACAACCUACCCUCAGCACGGGGAUAAACCCGGGAAACUGGGUAUAAUACCCGAUAGUUCUGGGAUGCUGGAAUGCUUCCAGGACGAAAGCUCCGGCGACUGAGGAUGGGUCUGCGGCCUAUCAGGUAGUAGUGGGUGUAAUGUACCUACUAGCCUACGACGGGUACGGGUCGUGAGAGCGAGAGCCCGGAGAUGGAUUCUGAGACACGAAUCCAGGCCCUACGGGGUGCAGCAGGCGCGAAAACUUUACAAUGCUGGCAACAGCGAUAAGGGGACCUCGAGUGCCAGGAUACAAUCUUGGCUGUCGUAAUGCCUAAAAAGCAUUGCAUAGCAAGGGCCGGGCAAGACCGGUGCCAGCCGCCGCGGUAACACCGGCGGCUCGAGUGGUAACCGCUAUUAUUGGGUCUAAAGGGUCUGUAGCCGGCCGGAUAAGUCUUUUGGGAAAUCCAGCUGCUCAACAGUUGGGCUUUCAGAAGAUACUGUUCGGCUCGAGGCCGGGAGAGGUGAGAGGUGCUUCAGGGGUAGGGGUGAAAUCUUGUAAUCCUUGAAGGACCACCAGUGGCGAAGGCGUCUCACCAGAACGGUCCUGACGGCAAGGGACGAAAGCUAGGGGCACGAACCGGAUUAGAUACCCGGGUAGUCCUAGCCGUAAACGAUACUCGCUAGGUGUCAGCCACGGUGCGACCGUGGUUGGUGCCGUAGGGAAGCCGUGAAGCGAGCCACCUGGGAAGUACGGCCGCAAGGCUGAAACUUAAAGGAAUUGGCGGGGGAG